rnacentral:rRNA from 1 species
AACAAACGCUGGCGGCGUGCCUAAUACAUGCAAGUCGAACGGGGAAAGCUUUCGGGUGAGUACUAGUGGCGCACGGGUGAGUAACGCGUGGAUAAUCUGCCUUAGAGAGGGGGAUAACUAGUCGAAAGAUUAGCUAAUACCGCAUAAGACCACAAGAUCUGCGGAUCAAGGGGUCAAAGGUUUUUCGCUCUAAGAUGAGUCCGCGUAAGAUUAGCUAGUUGGUGAGGUAAUGGCUCACCAAGGCGACGAUCUUUAACUGGUCUGAGAGGAUGAUCAGUCACACUGGAACUGAGACACGGUCCAGACUCCUACGGGAGGCAGCAGUAGGGAAUAUUGCACAAUGGAGGAAACUCUGAUGCAGCGACGCCGCGUGAGUGAUGAAGGCCUUCGGGUCGUAAAGCUCUGUCGCAGGGGAAUAACACAAUGAAUGUACCCUGUAAGAAAGGAUCGGCUAACUUCGUGCCAGCCGCCGCCGUAA